GCCAGGUGUGGUGGCAUGUGCCUGUAGUCCCAGCUACUCGGGAGUAUGAGGUGGGAGGAUCGCUUGAGCCCAGGAGUUCUGGGCUGUAGCGCGCUGUGCCGAUUGGGUGUCUGCACUAAGUUCGGCAUCAAUAUGGUGACCUCCCGGGAGCAGGGGAACACCAGGUUGCCUAAGGAGGGGUGAACCGGUGCAGGUCGGAAAUGGAGCAGGUCAAAACUCCCGUGCUGAUCAGUAGUGGGAUCACCCUUGUGAAUAGCCACUGUACUCCAGCCUGGGCAACAUAGCAAGACCCCGUCUAU
rnacentral:SRP_RNA from 1 species